rnacentral:rRNA from 1 species
AUUGAACGCUGGCGGCAGGCCUAACACAUGCAAGUCGAACGAGUGGCGCACGGGUGAGUCAUGUCUGGGAAACUGCCUGAUGGAGGGGGAUAACUACUAGAAACGGUAGCUAAUACCGCAUACCAUCGGAUGUGCCCAGAGGGGAUUAGCUAGUAGGUGGGGUAAAGGCUCACCUAGGCGACGAUCCCUAGCUGGUCUGAGAGGAUGACCAGCCACACUGGAACGGAGACACGGCCCAGACUCCGACGGGAGGCAGCAGUGGGGAAUAUUGCACAAUGGGCGCAAGCCUGAUGCAGCCAUGCCGCGUGUAUGAAGAAGGCCUUAGGGUUGUAAAGUACUUUCAGCGGGGAGGCGUUACCCGCAGAAGAAGCACCGGCUAACUCCGUGCCAGCAGCCGCGGUAAUAC